UUUAUUAAUUUAUCGAAUAUUAA
rnacentral:snRNA from 1 species